CCAGGCUCCAGACGUCCCGUGGGACUGGGCUGGGAUCUGUGGGAAUGGAGGACUCUGAGGGGCUGGGAUGGGAUCUCUGGGGAUGGAGGACUCUGAGGGGCUGGGAUGGGAUCUCUGGGGAUGGGGGUGAUCCGUGGGGCUGGAAUUGGAAUGCAGGGAGCUCCAAGGGGCUCCCUGGUGCUGGGACACGACUCCCUGGGUCCGUCCUCUCCUCGUUCCCAGGUCUCCACAGGCUGCAGGUGGUUUCCAGCUGUGAACUCCUGUCCCACAGAAUGUCCAUGGAUCCCCUGGGUGAGGCUACGAGGGGUGGGAUUUCAUCUCCUUCCAGCUGGGACCCGGGAGCUUUGCAGUGUCCGACGGUGCCACCUGGAUCAGCCAGAGGUGCUGGGAAUGCAAAGGGAUCAUGGUGGAGCAGAUGAAGCAUUCCCUGGGACACAGCUGUGUGGAAGAGCUCCCAAAAUCCAUCAGACAUGGUCAGGAGGCUCUGGAGCACAAAGGUGGGUGUGGGAGGAGGAGGGGAGUUCCUGUGCGAGUGUGGGAUUCAGGAAUGGGGGCCUUGGGAAUGCAGAAAUUGCCAUGGAAUUUCCAUGGCCGGAUCUCUCUCAUCCCAGCCAGGUGAGAAUUCCAUGGAUAGAUCUCCCCCUAACCCAUUGCCAUGGGAAUUCCAUGGGGAAAUUAUUUGAAUUGAUGACCAAUGCCAUGCCAGCAGUGCAAUUGUGAAAUACAAAGCUGUGUUUCUGUCAGGUUCAUAGAGGCAACGUGUGUAUUUGUGAUUGUGAUACGUGUGGAAACUGACCAUGGGACAGUCAUAAAGACGAAUUCUAAUAAAUAACUGAGGAGGUAAAGCAUGGAAGAAGGCCUUUGAACCAAUCCUUUGUUCGCAAUUACCCUUUUGAAAAGCAGUUUGAGAAAGGAAGAUGAACAUCUACUCAAGGAUUGAUAGUUUUGACCAAGGGAAGUUGGAUAUCACUGUUAUGAGAUUUGCAAUUAAAAGGUGGACCCACAUCUGGAAUCGGGACCUCACCAGCUGGGAGACUUCUUUCUUCUUUCGGAAGCCAGACCCCACCAUCUGGGGAUACUCCUUUCUGGGAUACAUCCUGAGAAAAACUAAAUCAUAAUAGUGUAUAGAAUUGUGAUGUAAAAAUUGGGAAUGGAAACUGCUGAGAAAGCUUAUGAGUACCCCUAUCAAUGCCUGUAAGCCUCAACUAUGGGUGUGCAGUUGGAGGCAAAACUUCCCCCACUGUACCCAGCCUGUAUUGCUCAUACUUUACCAUAUUAAUUAAUAAAUUGAUUGCUGCUUGAA